UGGAGCCCUGUAGCUUAUGCUGAAUAUGUAAAGAUAGUCCAUAUCAACCUUUCUUUGUUUUGUUAAGUUUGAUCAUAAGAUCACAGUAUAGCCAUGUCGAUCUCAAAUUUCUGGCAUAAAGAUGCACCAUUACAAAUGCAGCCUCAGGGAACAUUAGUACCCAUAUAUCCAAAAUUGUCAGGUCUUAUUAUUUCUUAAGAGUUCCUGGCCUGAUGAGGUCAGUGUUUUGUCCCUUUUGAAUGUUGUUUCAUGCUUGACACCUUUCCCAUUUUCUGGGGGGGAGGGAAAGAAGGGGUAAAAAAAAAUAAAGGACUUUAUUGUGAUGGGCUGACCAGAGCCCAUCUGCAGUUGGGUGGCAUCUGCUCCCCACAUGUCACUUCCCUCAUUAACAAGCAAUUGAAUUAAUUAAAUGCUACUCAGAACACGCAUAACAAGCUACCGGCAGUGUCCAAAUUAGCACUGAUAAUCAAGGAUGAUUUCCUUUAUUAUCCUGCUAAGUGGUGUGCAGGCUCUGAUCUCCCUGUCUGCCCUCAUCUAUUUACAUACCCCCAGCUUCUGCCUUUAGAAGCUGAGGUUAUCUUACCUAGUUAAUUUGCCACGAUCACUAAGCAUGGCGGAUUGAUAUUCCUGCCUCUGCUGAAGCAAACCCCCUUCUCUCCCCCUUUCCUCCCUUCCCAAGCCUGGUCCUUUGUAUCUCAAGCUCACUGAUAAAUUAAAAGCCACCCCUGUGGUCUCUCAAGUGAGUAAUAGAGGCAGAAAUUUCAUUUUGCAACUGGCUGAUUUAAUGAUCCAAAGGGUAAUUAAUGGCCUGAUUAUCUUAAUGUUAAAUAUGUCCGGCAGCAAUUACUGUGACCUCCCGCUUGUCAAGGUCCGGGCUAUGCUCUUCUUUCAAUUAAGUUCUCUGGGGCUUAAUGGUAUGAAUAAACUCCUCUGAUUCUAUCAUUCUGGACUCCGAGAUUUAGGCGAGCUAGGGGCUCGUUUGGAGUUUUAAUCAGCCCAUCUUCUACUUGAGCGAUCAGAGUUAACAAUUAUAACAAGGACAGUUUAACUUUCUUCCCCCCCAACCCCUCUUCUACUUCUUUAUAUUCUAUUUUAUUUUGUUUAAGUGCUCCAAGGGAAUUCUGUUGGCUGAAGCAGCAGCAUUGCUAGGCUCGUCUCUCCCUAUCUAAAUUAUCAUGUGAAUGCUGCUGUUUUUCCAUUUGACAGGCUUAAUUAAUUGGCAGGAGAGCCCAAAAAUGACAGUGCUACUAAUUGCAACUCAAAGUAAAUUUCUGUCAUUGUGGCACGCUUGUCAACGGGCAUGCCCCAGUCCACACUGCGGACAGAGUUUGUUGACGUUUUCCAUUUCAGUUUUCACAUCUCGUUGGGGAGCGUGAUCAUAUGUGAUAGCACUAACGGACCAAGAUGUGCCUCUGGGUUUUCCAGGCACACAGUUUGUGUGCAAGAAUGACAUUUACUGCCAAUAAAGUUUGAACAACUGUGCUUCUGUGGACCAAACAGCUGCUAGGGGACUUAAGAUUUUACUUAAGAUAUUUUAUCGAGUUCUGUUAGUCAGGAGACUUUGAAUCAAACUGUGAGUUGUAACUCAUUCAUUGUCUCAUGACUGAACUACCCUUAUUAACACAUCUCUAAGAAUGCUCGACUUUACUUCUGUUGUGCAUUAGGAUGCAAAUAUUUCAUUGUAAGCAUUCAGUCAAUUAUGCAAUUGCAUAAAUUAAAAGUGCAUGAAUACUGAUAUACAUGUAAAUAAAAGAUAUACAUGUAAAUAAAAAAUACUGAUCUAUUAUGGCCAGUAAACCAAAGCUUUUCAGCCCACAUCACUCUGUAGGAAUGAACCAGUUCUGACAUGCUAGAAUAUAGUACUUUCAGGUGAAGCUAUUGUCACUUCUCAAUAAUUCUCAGAAAAUGCACCUACUGAGAAUAAUUCAGCAAAAAAAUAUUGUUAUUGCUCAACUUCCACCUUCAGGAGGCCUACAACUCACAAGAGAAAGCUAAGUGCUACAAAAUGUUUUAUUCUUCUCAGCAUCGGAGUCAGUAAAACAUUGGUGCCUAGAUACCACUGA